UACGAAGGGGGCUAGCGUUGCUCGGAAUCACUGGGCGUAAAGCGCACGUAGGCGGAUUGUUAAGUCAGGGGUGAAAUCCUGGAGCUCAACUCCAGAACUGCCUUUGAUACUGUCGAUCUUGAGUCCGGGAGAGGUGAGUGGAACUCCGAGUGUAGAGGUGAAAUUCGUAGAUAUUCGGAAGAACACCAGUGGCGAAGGCGGCUCACUGGCCCGGUACUGACGCUGAUGUGCGAAAGCGUGGGGAGCAAACAGG
rnacentral:rRNA from 1 species